UAGCUUCAGCCAUCCGUUCUGCAGCUGGUCCAUGCCAUGGCUUAUGCUCCAUCAUGAAACAUGUUUUUUGGAUGAUCCAAAUAUGUCCAAACCUCGGAUGAACAACUUCAAGAUUUCAUGGGAGAAAUAAUCAAUUUACUUGUGAGGGUUAAUGUUUACUGAAUCAACUGGUAUGAAAGUUUUAACACCCAUCUUGGAAUU